rnacentral:rRNA from 1 species
GACGUAGGGGGCGAGCGUUGUCCGAAGUUACUGGGCGUAAAGCGCGCGUAGGCGGCGCGUUAAGGGAGGGGUGAAAGGCUCCGGCUCAACCGGGGGAGGGCCUCUUCGACUGGCGCGCUUGAGGGCAGGAGAGGGGCGUGGAAUUCCUGGUGGAGCGGUGAAAUGCGUAGAGAUCAGGAAGAACACCCGUGGCGAAGGCGGCGCUCUGGCCUGUGUCUGACGCUGAGGUGCGAAGGCGUGGGGAGCGAACGGG